UGGCUAGUGGGGUGCGACUGGAAUAUUCUGGACAGAGAAACCCUCCUCGACCUCCAUGGCCUGCCGCCGCCACUCCCCGCCGUCGCCGGCGACGGUGCCUCCGCUUGACGACGACGACCUCCUCGGCGAGAUCCUCCUCCGCCUCCCCCCGCAGCCUUCCACUCUCCUCCGCGCCUCCCUCGUCAGCAAGCGCUGGCGCGGCCUCGUCAAGCGCCGCCGGUUCCUCCGCCUCUUCCGCGCCCGCCACGGUAGCUCCCCCCUGCUCGGCGUCUUCCCCGGCGAGGCAGACAUGGGCUACGCCUUCUUCACGCCCUCCCUCGACCCGCCCGACAGGGUACCCCCAUUGCGCUUCCCCAUGCCGCUCGACUUCCUCGCCUUCCCCCUCGUCCUCGACUGCCG
rnacentral:lncRNA from 1 species